rnacentral:misc_RNA from 1 species
GGACUGAAUUUACCAAUUUGGAUACUUGGUGGUAUCUGAUUAUAUAGAUGCUUUAUUAUGCCAUUAGUAUCAGAGAAGUUUAUGCUCAGGACAAUUCUUAUCAAGUUUGACUCUGUACAAGGCUAAGAAUUUCUCUCUUGAGUUAUGAAUGUCUUAACUCACCAAAUAAGUAUGAUGGGUGUUUUCAUUUCUAGACAAGUUUCGCGGUCACCUCAUAGCAA